rnacentral:rRNA from 1 species
UCGGUAGAAUCAUCAGUAGGAGACCUGCGGAGGAUCAUUAUACAUUCAUGGGACACAAUAGUAGUUCCCUGAUCCAAUCCAUGUUGCUUUCCCAGGUGUUUGGUCAUCUGGGAAAGUGUCCUUUCAAAACGAAUUAUUGAAUCAGCUGUCUGAGUUGGCCCAGUGCCUUAUUCUUUAAAUAAGUUAAAACUUUCAACAACGGAUCUCUUGGCUCUCGCAUCGAUGAAGAACGCAGCGAAAUGCGAUAAGUAAUGUGAAUUGCAGAAUUCAGUGAAUCAUCGAAUCUUUGAACGCACAUUGCGCCCCUUGGCAUUCCUUGGGGCAUGCCUGUUCGAGCGUCACUGCAAACCCACUCAUAAAUAUUAUGGUAUUGAUGGAAGUGAACGGAACCAAUCUAUGUGUUCAGGUCAUCCCAUCGAAAUGUAUAAGCAGGACAAUCAACCUGUGCAAUGGACUUAGUAACUGUCUUGAAGACAUAAACCAGUUUGUUGCUUGGUUUUGACUUAGCUUCCAUGGACCUCCAUCCAAGAUAAUAAACUCUGGGUUGACCUCGGAUCAGGUAGGGAUACCCGCUGAACUUAAGCAUAUCAAUAAGCGGAGGAA